GUAGUAUUCCCUCCGUCCCAAAAUUCUUGUCUUACAUUUGUUUAGAUACGGAUGUAUCUAACACUAAAAUGUAACUAGAUACAUCCGUAUUUAGACAAAUUUAAGACAAGAAUUUUGGGACGGAGGGAGUACAAU
rnacentral:pre_miRNA from 1 species